rnacentral:misc_RNA from 1 species
AAGAGAUAGAAAUUCCUCAGGGUUUUUUCCUUUCCCCUCUGUCCAAACAUUUCAGCGAUUAUGCGAGGAACUGAGCAGGAACGAUAACGUAUUUUGGUUGAGCUGAUUAUGUAGCCCUUUUUUUCAACAAUAUUUGGGUCACAAAUUUAAGAUUGGCUUCGAAAUUUUAGGGUUUUGACUGGCUCGUUUCGUUUCCUGAGCUAAAGGAGUAUCAUUUUGGGUAUCAAGCUGGCUAUGGAUUACGAGCC